UCAGAGGUGAAAUCCUGCAGCUCAACUGUAGAACUGCCUUUGAUACUGUUAUUCUUGAGUAUGGUGAGGUGGGUGGAAUGUGUGGUGUAGCGGUGAAAUGCAUAGAUAUGACAGGAAACACCAAUUGCGAAGGCAGCUCACUAAACCAUUACUGACGCUGAUGGACGAAAGCGUGGGGAGCGAACAGGAUUAGAUACCCUGGUAGUCCACGCCGUAAACGAUGAUCACUAGCUGUUGGGGAUAUAAUGUCAGCGGCCGAGCGAAAGUAAUAAGUGAUCCACCUGGGGAGUACGUUCGCAACAAUGAAACUCAAAUGAAUUGACGG
rnacentral:rRNA from 1 species